rnacentral:rRNA from 1 species
AGUGAACGCUGGCGGUAGGCCUAACACAUGCAAGUCGAACGGCAGCACAGUAAGAGCUUGCUCUUACGGGUGGCGAGUGGCGGACGGGUGAGGAAUACAUCGGAAUCUACUUUUUCGUGGGGGAUAACGUAGGGAAACUUACGCUAAUACCGCAUACGACCUACGGGUGAAAGCAGGGGAUCUUCGGACCUUGCGCGAUUGAAUGAGCCGAUGUCGGAUUAGCUAGUUGGCGGGGUAAAGGCCCACCAAGGCGACGAUCCGUAGCUGGUCUGAGAGGAUGAUCAGCCACACUGGAACUGAGACACGGUCCAGACUCCUACGGGAGGCAGCAGUGGGGAAUAUUGGACAAAGGGCGCAAGCCUGAUCCAGCCAUACCGCGUGGGUGAAGAAGGCCUUCGGGUUGUAAAGCCCUUUUGUUGGGAAAGAAAAGCAGCAGGUUAAUACCCCGCUGUUCUGACGGUACCCAAAGAAUAAGCACCGGGUAACUUCGUG